UUUUUUUUUAGAGAGAGAGAGAGGAUUUUUUUAAUAUUUAUUUUUUAGUUUUCGGUGGACACAGCAUCUUUAUUUUUUAUUUUUAUGUGGUGCUGAGGAUCGAACCCAGCGCCUCGCGCAUGCCAGGCGAGCAUGCUACCGCUUGAGCCACAUCCCCAGCCCCUCACUAAGGCAUCUUGCUAGACCAUUCUCUGCAGUCUUUCUGGCCAGUUUCCCCAGCAGUGAAUCCUCUAAUCUUCUGCCUGUGGUGUUAAAGCCCCAUUGCCAACAUUAUGGGAGCAGAGAAGGGGGAAGGGGACUGUGGAAUCUCACAAUUCAGAGCACAUACUUUUUAAAAAAAAUUAUUUUAAUCUGUUAUGUAUGACAGCAGAACACAUUACAAUUCAUAUUACAAAUAUAGAGCACAAUUUUUCAUAUCUCUGGUGGUACACAAAGUAGAGUCACGCCACUCGUGUUCAGAGCACAGACUUUUAGUUCUCUGUUUCCAGAGUGUAUGGCAAGCAAGUUCUCAGCUGUGCCCAGUGUCCUCCAGUCCAGUCCCUCUAUGAUUCAACCUUUCCUCAUAGGUGCACACAGGGAUGAGAAGAAACAACGGGAGUCAGAGUGUUUCUGGCACAAAUGUUCAACACGUUUAUUUUCAGCACAUCUGUACCCAAGUUCUACAGAGGGCACCAGCAUCUGUUUUUUCUAAGGUUUUGUGGUAUAGCUGGUUUGCCUCUUUGGGUUCCCCUUUUGGGAGUUUAGAUUUCAGUUUUAUAUUCUGUGUUAAAUUCAUCACUUUUCAUUCACCAGCUUUUUUAUUUCCUUCUGUCGUCUCUGUUCCUGUUCUCUCUUUGUCUACAGUGGUGUGCUGGUAAACAGUCCACAAAUGACUCUUGGAUAAAGUGAGGUACCUGAUUUGCAGCAGUCUGACUGCCGAGGUAUAAAUACUUCUACUGUGACCAAUUUGAAGGCACGGAAAGAACAUCUCUGGAUAUGCAGUUGGAAAGAAAUGCAAAGUAGCACCUCAGUAUGUGAGAUUUCUACUAACCCGGGACAACUGAUGUGAGCAAUGCUGGUUAGUAACCUCUAGAGAAAACAUAGUUAUAAAAGUAUUAGAAAAUUGUAAGUUUUGAGAAUUUAUUAGCUUUGCUUUUAAUGUAUUUUAAAAAUUGUAAGCAUAUAUCAUUUUAGUUUUUUUGAUUUGUUGUGUACUGGGGAUUGAACUCGGGGUCACUCGACCACUGAGCCACAUCCCCAGCCCUAUUUUGUAUUUUAUUUAGAGACAGGGUCUCACUGAGUUGCUUAGCACCUUGCUUUUGCUGAGGCUGGCUUUGAACUCAAGAUCUUUCUGUCUCAGCCUCCUGAGAAGCUGGGAUUAUAGGUGGGCGCCACUGAGCCUGGCCUUGUUUAGUUUUUAAAAUGACUGUUUCACAUCCAGCUAGAAAAAUUCCUAAAAAAAUCUUACAAUCGGCUGGCACAAGUCAAUAUUGGCUGGGCCUAACCUACAUUGGGUUUAUGCCUUUAUAAUGAUUUUAUUGUCUUUUUAGUGUAUUAUUAAUAAACUUUUUUUUUCAAUCAACUGCCGUACAGCAUGCAAUUACUUGGCCUCCUAUUGUUAACAGAAUAGUAAUCCAGCCAAAGUUCACUUGGUCUAAUUGCAGUUCUCAAACCAUGACGAGGAACGGUGUCAAUGAUUGGGCAUGAGGUCUCACAGGUGAAGGCAGUGACUGCACCAACUCCCAAUGUGAUCUCAGUUUUGAAAAAGAACAUUUACUGUGUCUGUGUUUCUUAGCAACUCUCUGAAGUGGCGCCCAGCAGCUCCUCACUCUAAACCUGACAACCAGGAAGAGUUUAACAAAGCCAAACACCUGCAUAGAGCCUUUUAUUAGAGGAGCCCACAGCAGUUCACCAACGGUGCCUCAUUUAGUCUCGCUGUUCCUCCCAGUGGGAGGAGGAGAGGAAUCUCAUCAGCCCCAUUUUACAGAUGGUCAAGAAGAGGCCUGACAGCAGAUCAACACCAGCUCAGGCAAGAUCAACAGAGUCUUCUUGUUGCCUGAAAAUCUAGCAUGCUCUCUCUCCAUAGCAACAGAAUCUUGUGCACUAAGUUAUGUUUCCUGAGUCUAGGCAGGUGGACGAUUCAGUUUUACUAUCUGAAAUAUCAAGGAGUUCUUUCUUUGUUGGUAACAGGAUUGAACCCAUGGUUGCUUAACCACUGAGCUAAGUCCCCAGCCCUUUUUACUUUUAAUUUUGAGAGAGUCUUGAUAAGUUGCUGAGGACCUCCCUAAGUUGCUGAGGCUGGCUUUGAAAUUGUGAUCCUCCUGCCUCAGCCUCCAGAGCUGCUAGGAUUACUGGUGUGCGCUACCACGCCUGGCUUCAAGUAGUUCUUUUAAAUCCUAAAUUGGAUGAUUCUGGUUCUGACCAUUGUGAACCCUCCCACACCUUCUGUUGUGUGUGAUUUGUAGUAUUUUAUGGUAUGUUACCCAACAUCAUUUUGUCUAAAGAAGUAGGGGAUUGUUGGCAGGUACACAAAGCCAUCCUUUGGGUGCAAAUUAAGGGUCCAGGUACUAUAGUUUGGUUUCUCUGUUGAGCAAAUAGCAAAGCAUUAAUAAUGGCCAAAAUAGAAAAUAGACUUUCCAAACAUUUGCUAUGUGCCACAUGUGGAAUUUAGUAUUUAUAUGCAUCAUUGCAUUUAAAUCUUUAUAACAGAAUUGUGGCUGGUAUUAAUAUAUCCCUAUUUUGAAGAUGAUGAGAGUAAAGGUUAGACUGACAACACAGCCAGGGAGUGGGCUGGAAGCAAAACACCAUCCCAGCCCAGACCCACAUGCUUGUAGGGGCUAUUGUCAGCCCUUCUGCUCCAUCUUUUGCUAACUCAGCUGGCCUCUUGGCUAAAGGGACUAGUGUGGAGGUGAACCUGGCACCUAAGAGAGUCCUACCUCAGAACUUCCCACUGGACCUCUCAGAAGAGCCCUUUGUUCUGUGGCCACAGAGUCUGUGACUGUGACUCAGGGAGAUGGACUUCCAUGUCCAAGGCUGUGUGAAGGUCACUUUCUAUAGGAAGAGAAGACAAAAUCUACACAGAGAGAGAAAAACAGAGAUAAGGAUGGGGGUUGAGGGUGGAGAAUUCUCACAGCAUCCAAAUCUUUCCUUUAAGUUCCUGCCUCCAUUGUCCAGCUAGUUUGAAUUCAACUUUAAAAAAUUUGUUCUUUUUAGUUAUACAUGACAGUAGAGUGUAUUUUGACAUAUCAUAUAUACAUGGAAUGUACUUCCCAUUCUUGUGGUUGUGCAUGCGGAGUCCCUCUGGUCGUGUAUUCAUAUGUGCACACAGGAGAGCUAUGUCUGAUUCAUCCCACUGUCUUUCCUAUUCCCAUUCAACCUCUCUUCCCUUCAUUCCCUUUUGUCUAAUCCAAAGUACUCCAAUUCUCCCUCCCCACUUAUUGUGUGUUAGCAUUCACAUACCAGAGAGAACAUUCAGCCUUUGGUUUUUUGGGAUUGGCUUAUUUCACUUAGAAAGAUAGUCUCCAGUUCCAUCCAUUUACUAGCAAAUGGCAUAAUUUCAUUCUUCUUUAUGGCUGAGUAAUAUUCCAUUGUAUAGACGUGCCACUUGAAUUCAGCUUUUGUCACUUGGCCACUGGGAGAGUCCCAACCAAUACAGAAUUUACACACCUGCUAUGCUGCUGCUGGUACCACAUUUACCAGGACAGGAGAGCCACCACUGGGUCUCCUGGAUUCACUCCAACCUGUCUCUCUGAAAUCUGUAAGCAGGUCAACUAUGCACACACUACACCCCUUUCUUCCCCUCUAAAUACAUUCUGUAUCUCCUCUGGAAGAUUUUUCUUCCUGUCUUGUUACCCGAUCCAAGCCUCCUAAUGCAGAUGUGGUUCGUAGUGAUAAGAAGACACCUGAGUUGAGAUGCAUUAUUAGGUCUUCUGAUGCCAAGAGGCACAGAAUUGAACAAUAGGAGGACAGUCGCGACCUCAGCUGUGGGUCCCCUUACUGUACAGUUCCAUUGGCCAAUUUUUUUGGAGGGGUCAUGGGGCAGAAGCGGGGAUGGGGACAUCAUGGCAUUGCCAGUUUCAUUUUGGCAAACAGGGCUAGUAGGCUUAAAGUUACCCUUGCCUCACUCUUCAUGCAUUUACUUAACAAGUCUAAUAAAUAGUCUUCUGUAAACCCUGGGGUUAUAAAGCAAUCUUAUAGUCCAAUCCUUAGAAGAGUAUAAAAGGUCACAUUGAUUCUUCCUUUCAUUGUAAUUGAUACCUUAGAUUACCUUCUAGAAUGUAGGGGGCAGUGUGUGGAAGUGGGAACUACCUUGCUAGUGAUACUUUUCAAAAUGAAUUACAAGCUAGAAAGGGCCAAGGGAGGAGAGGAGGUGGCCCUGGCAGUAGAACUUAAUAUAGUGUGGCCUUGGGGCAGGUGUAGGGACCCAGAGUAGGCAAAAGGUCCAGCCUUCCCUGCAGGGGCCAGCAGGCCAGGUGCUGAGGAGGGCAUGGGGCUCUGUGGAACCAAGGGCCUGGGGUUGCUGUGUUCUGACGUGCUUUGGAACCAAGUAGACGAGCCACUCUGAGGCUUUAAACUCUUUGAUGACAGGCUGUGAGGGAUUGUGGUUCCCUUCACCUCUCUGCUUAACUGACUAGCAAAUUGCCUUUGGGAAAAGUUGUGCCUUUAGGACAAUAGCCAGAGCAAGUGGAGCACAUUAACCAGAGUGGCUGUAACAUCGCACACUGGGCUAGACACAGAGAAGGAGCCUCUUUGGUAUCCACAGUACUUGCACUUAAGCAAUAUAAAUUUUUAAGAAUCUCUUCUUUCUUGCUUACUUUCUCCCUUUCUUUUCUUUUCGUGGUGCUGGGGACAGAACCCAGGGGCCUCUUGCAUGCUAGGUAUGUACUCUACCACUGAGCUACACCCCAGCCCCAAUUUACAAGAAUCUGAAAACUGCUGGCUAGGUGGUCUGAAAAGUCUCCAGUAAGCAAAGCAUAAUGAAUGGAAAUGGAGUGUACAGGACCCGUUACCUUUAACUUACCGUGUCAUUGUUGGUCUCUUCACUAACUGUUGUUUUAUUUAAAUGAUAACAAAAAUGGCUCAUCAGAGCGUUUGUGGAUUCAGUGCUUUCUCUUGCAAUCAUGUUGUCCUAACUUUCUAUCUUUAAGAUGACUUUUAGCUCCUGAGGCCCCAGGUUUCCUGCAGAGGUGAUGGUGAUGGGUGUUCCAGCCAGGUGGUCAGGCCUUUGGUGGUCAAAGUGGUCAGCAGCCUCCAAGCUGGUCCUGGACCCUCCAUGCCUCCCAGGGAGCACCCCUUUUUGCAGUACCUGCCCGUAACAGGACAGGGGUAGUUGGGGCAACCAGUACAGCGAAACCAGAGUGAAGUUCAUUUACAAGAUUAAGUCUUAAAAGACACUGCAGGUCUCAUAGUCAGUGCUUUCUCUUGGAUCUCUCAUUCAGGAUGCCAGCUGUCACAUCACAAGGACAGGCAGACUGUGAAUGGAGAGGCCAUGAGGUAAGGAACUAAGACCUGUAGCCAGACAGUGAGGGCCUAAGCCCACCAAUAACCAUGCAGGUGCACUUGAGGGUGGAGUCAACCUCAUGAGAGACCCUGAGUCAGGACCACUGAGCUAAAUCACUCCCAGACUUCUGGCCCUCGGAAACUGUGAGACACCAUGCAGGUGUGCUGUUGUAACCUACUGUACUGGGGGAAAUUUGUUACACAGCAACAAAAAUGAUUACAGAAAGGAGAGUUGGUAUUUCUUCCCUACUAGCCUUCCUCUCUCAAGAGGAGGCCCCCAUGACUUCUAUGGAGGGAGCUGUGCAUGUCCACUAUUAGAGGGGUUGGGGCAUACUCUCUUCCUUUGCUAGGCUGGAGGUACCACAUUUUGAAUUAAAUUUAGAAAGUGAUUUCCCUUAUGCUCUUUGCUACACUCUGAUGACCCCUUUUAUUUGGAGGUGUGGAUGAAGGAGCACACAUGGAAUCUAGAAGAUGAUAGACAGCCAUUCUUCUUGUCCCCAUUUCAUUUUGGUGGAGUAAGGGAAACAUCUUUUUUUUUGUGCACACAAAAGUUUUAGAAACUGGUCUCAAAUAAGAAAAAAAAAAACUUCAAUUAUUUGUUUCUUAUUAUAAAAGCAGUAAUACAAGUAGAGAAAAAAAUUUAAAAAGCAAAACCAUUAAACACCAAUAAUGACAUCAUCCAGAUGUAAAUACUGUUAACAAUUAGAGUAUAUCCUCAACCACUUGUACCUAUGUAUACAGUUAUCUUUUGCUAUCCAUGGGGGAUUGGGUCUAGGAUCCCUGAAGAUACCAAAGUCUGAGGAUGCUCGAGUUUCUUAUGUAAGAAGUAAAGUAUCUGCAUAUAAUAAAUGCACAUCCCACUGACACUUUCAAUUAUCUCUAGAUUGCUUAUGAUAUCUAAUAUAAUAUAAAUAUUAUGUAAAUAGUUAUGCCACAUUGUUUAGGGAAUCAUGACUGGAAAAAGAUGGUACAUAUUGUACAGACACAAUUUUUCUAUGAAAAUAUCUUUGAUCCAUGGUUGGUUUAAUCUGUGGAUGCAGAACUCUCAGGUAUGCAAGGCUGAUUAUAUAUUUUACACAAGUAGAUAACAUAAGUACAAUUUUGUGACUUUGUUUUUCAUUAGAUAUAUAAACUUGUGUUUAGGUUGUUAUGGUAUCAUGUCAUUUAUCGUUAUAUUUUUAAAUGGCUGCAUAGUAUUCUAUCAUAUUGUAUCAUAUGUAUUCUAUCAUUCAGAUGUGUUAUCAUUUAUCAUACCAAUUCCCUUCUAUUGGUUAUAAAUUUAUUUCUAAUUUUGCUAUUUUAAGUUAAGCUGUAAAGAAUAUGCUUGUAGCUAAAUGUUUGUACCUACCUUGGCUACCUCCUUUAGAAUAGUAAUAAAAAGAAAAUGAUUGAAUUAAAGGUGCACAGUUUUUCAA
rnacentral:lncRNA from 1 species